rnacentral:sRNA from 1 species
GCCAAGGCAGCGUUGUAAACACUUUCGGUUGUUGCUUUCGACUUAGGAUCGAUUCCCAUAACCGGAACGCUCAUCAAUCCGACGGUUCCAGCGACGUAGUAGCAGUAAAGGUAUAGAUCAUCGAAGUUCUGGUAUCUCGAUUUCUUCAAGUCCAUUCUCAUUCCUUCGAUCAUGUCUCGAAAUG